CAGGUUCAGCUGCAGCAGUCUGGAGCUGAGCUGAUGAAGCCUGGGGCCUCAGUGAAGCUUUCCUGCAAGGCUACUGGCUACACAUUCACUGGCUACUGGAUAGAGUGGGUAAAGCAGAGGCCUGGACAUGGCCUUGAGUGGAUUGGAGAGAUUUUACCUGGAAGUGGUAGUACUAACUACAAUGAGAAGUUCAAGGGCAAGGCCACAUUCACUGCAGAUACAUCCUCCAACACAGCCUACAUGCAACUCAGCAGCCUGACAACUGAGGACUCUGCCAUCUAUUACUGUGCAAGA